rnacentral:lncRNA from 1 species
GCGGAGUGAUUAUUACAAUAAGACUAGGUGCACUAUAUUAUGAACAGUUACACGAACCAGAGAUCGGUUAAGUUGAUUUGACAGAAGGUUGACCGUUUAUCGACACAAGAAUUUUUUAUAAGAAGUAGUGUUUAGGGACACAUGCAAAAAGUAGUCGAAUGUAUUAGAAUGGAAGUCGACAAAGAAUUAUGAAAUUCAUUUUCAAACAGUUCAAUCAAUCAAAUUAG